rnacentral:rRNA from 1 species
GCAUGGAUCUGCGGGAAAAGGAUUUAUUCGCUUCAGGAUGGACUCGCGUCCAAUUAGCUAGUUGGUGAGGUAACGGCCCACCAAGGCGACGAUUGGUAGCCGGACUGAGAGGUUGAACGGCCACAUUGGGACUGAGACACGGCCCAGACUCCUACGGGAGGCAGCAGUGGGGGAUAUUGCACAAUGGGGGAAACCCUGAUGCAGCGACGCCGCGUGGAGGAAGAAGGUUUUCGGAUUGUAAACCCCUGUCGUUAGGGACGAUAAUGACGGUACCUAACAAGAAAGCACCGGCUAACUACGUGCCAGCAGCCGCGGUAAAACGUAGGGUGCAAGCGUUGUCCGGAAUUACUGGGUGUAAAGGGAGCGCAGGCGGACCGGCAAGUUGGAAGUGAAAACUAUGGGCUCAACCCAUAAAUUGCUUUCAAAACUGCUGGCCUUGAGUAGUGCAGAGGUAGGUGGAAUUCCCGGUGUAGCGGUGGAAUGCGUAGAUAUCGGGAGGAACACCAGUGGCGAAGGCGACCUACUGGGCAUCAACUGACGCUGAGGCUCGAAAGCAUGGGUAGCAAACAGGAUUAGAUACCCUGGUAGUCCAUGCCGUAAACGAUGAUUACUAGGUGUUGGAGGAUUGACCCCUUCAGUGCCG